rnacentral:rRNA from 1 species
ACGCUCGACACCUACGGGGCAGCAGUUGGGAAUAUUGGACAAUGGAGGAAACUCUGGAUCCAGUGACGCCGCGUGAAGGAAGAAGGUCUUCGGAUUGUAAACUUAUUUUGUCAGGGAAGAAAAAAUGACUGUACCUGAAGAAAAAGCACCGGCUAACUACGUGCCAGCAGCCGCGGUAAUCUGAGCGGGCUGGCAAGGC